UGUCAUUUCUUAAAUCGAUCUGUGGGUUCUUACUGGUGUUACUGGUUCUGUUAGGGAGACCAUGUGUUCACAGGAAAACUGAAGCUGAUGGGGGACAUGUUGGAGGUGACGUCACGUACAGAGACAGAAAAUCACAAGUCAUCAACAACAGCCAAUCAGAAGAAGCAGAGAGAGUGAUCCAGCUGUUGUCCUGAGAACUGAAGACAUCAGUUAUGGACAAACAGCUGUCUGACCAAACAGACUUUAAACCAGAGCCACUCUACUCUUUACUGAUGUAGUCCACCAGUCCAACGACGUCCAGCUGCUGGUCUCUAACUGGCCCACACGGCCUAUCAGACACGUCUGUGAAGGUUCUCAGUCAUCCAGGUCAUCGUUGUUUAAAGAGCUUGGAAAGAAAAGCGUCUGGACUUCUUUAAGUUGCUUGAAGACGUUUCACCUCUC